UUCUUCCCAAAUGGCUAACAUACAUUCUUUCCUUCUAAAAUGUUAGGUUGUGUGGAAAACAAUAGUCAUAAGGAAGUGAAUCUCACAUAUACACGUAUUAAUGAAGUAUGUUGAGUCACACACUGGAAAUGAAAACAUUUGAUUCUAACUAACAAAAUAUUUGAUUUUAAUGAAGUCUGGUCAAUAUUAAUGAAAAAGACACGGAUGGUAAUAAGAGUAAUUUAAGCCAACUCAAUUAUUCUGCAGCAACUAACAAAGGCCAGGAUUCUGCCCCUAUCUGAAUCGAGCUACCAUACGGCUUUAAUCUGAUCUCAGAUUUGGAGUCCUAAUUGAUGGAGACACAUGCAUUCCAGUGGACAGUCCAAUCACUAAAGAGAGCGUGGAGUACACCAGGAGACCAGCUCCGGACAAGAUUCAACAGCUAGAUGAUCAUCCUAAAAAGAAAAUACCUAAACGGCCUCAAGAAUAGAGUAUCAUUCCAAUUGAAUAUUGGACUCAAUUGGCAGUAUCUGUUGAACAGUUGUAAUACACUAUGGACCGAUUAAAAGAGGAGCAAAAGAACCAAUCUUGCAUACUACAGAAGCUGGUUGAAGAAUAUGAGAAGCAGGGGCGAGCAUUAGAAGAGCAGAAGCAUCAGAAAGUAGCCUCUAAAGAGAGCAGUGACCACUAUGUUUAAGGUGGUUGAGUUUCACCCCUAUCCAGUUCCUAUUUCAGUAUUCUAAUUCCUGUUUUCCAUAUUUAAGAUUGCAUGAUCACUAGUAGGAUUAUCUUUUUAUUUUUCUACUAUAAUUUUUAUCUUUGUCAAUUAAGUAUAAGAUAUUCCACUCAUCAUUCCAUUAAAACCUAAAUAAAAUUUCGUUUUCUUUUAAGAAGCAGUAAAAUACAAGAAUUUUUUAGUUGAUUAUAAUGCGUUCCUUCUAAUUCAAAAAAGUGGUGGCUUUGCAUAAGGGUGGCAACACUAUCCGAACCCGCGGGUACCCACCCCGUCCCUACCCAUUCGAGGCGGGUAUUUAUCCGCCCCCGCAUCGGGGCGGAUUUUGAUGGGACAGGUUCUUGGGCGGGGCGGGAUCGGAUCGGGUUUAGGUUAAACCCGCCCCGGUAUAUAAUAUAUAUAUAUAUAUAUAUAUAUAUAUAUAUAAAAUAAUUAGUAAAAUUAUUAAUAAUAUUAUAUUAUAUUUAAAUUUUUACUUUAAUUUAUGUUAUGUAUAUAAAUGAUUGUUAUAUAAUUUUUAAAAUUUUAUUUUAUUUGUUGGAUUUAAUAAUUAUAGGAGUAGGUAGGAGUGGGGCGGGUACUCGUAGGGGCGGGUUAUGGUUUAACAUUUUACUACCCGCAGGUAAGAGCGGGGCGGCGGGUUCGAUGCGGGUUUUUGUAGAGCGAGGCGGAGUUGGGUAAAGCAAAAACCUGCCCCUACCUGCCCUGUUGCCACCCCUAGCUUUACAUUUAUUUUUUGAAUGCAUGAAUUAACUGUGCAUAAUUGUCUUAAGGUUGAGGGUGCUGGCCCUUGAAGGAAUAGUGAAAUUAGAGAAGUACUAUUGGUUCUCUAAAAAAUUUAAAUUAUUUAUUCUUGAAGUAAAAGACACAGCAUUCAAAAAUAUAUAUAUAUUAGAAGAUUUAAAAGAGCAAGGAUUCAAGGUUUUGAGCAUCAAUGGUUAGGAGGGUUAAAAAUUAGCUUGAAAAGCUCAAUUGAGUUGCUAUCCCUAACUUAAUGCUUGUGGUGUGAAGAUGUCAAGUAAAAAAAUGCUUGAGACUGAGCAAUUAAAGUCAUGAUUCAAAGCUACAGAGUAUGCCUAAGAACUCUGGGCAUCACUGUCUAGGAAUUUAAGCAAAGCUAAAUUCGAACCCAAAAGGUUCUCCCAGUUAAGUGUUUGUGGCGUUUAUGUAUCCAGUGGUAAUAUGAAAAAACAAAAUGCUUAGAGUCACGGCUAGACUAAAAAAGGUGCAAUACAUCAAAAGAAGCUGAGUUCAAGAAUCAAGAAAAUCUAAAAGAAGAGAAUCAAUAAUAUCAUCUGGAUUCUAGUUCAAAGGGAUGCCAAUACUGCUGAACUUCAAAGGAAAGUGAGAUGCCAAAACUGUUCAGAAGUAAAGAGCUAAUAGCCCCAUUGAAUUAUUUGGAGCUGAACUUCAUUAACAACUUUGAGACUUUUUCUAUCUUUAUCUUCUUUUUAGUCCGAUUUUGCUUUUGGUUGCUUGAGGACAAGCAACAGUUUAAGUUUGGUGUUCUGAUGAGCGGAUAUUUAAUUUUAUAUCCUUUUUUAUGCUAUUUUCUAUUUUGUUAAGUUUUAUUAUGUUUUAGUAGAUUUUAGUGAAAAUUUUACUUUUUGGAUGCUACUUUGAAUUUUUGUGUUUUUCCAAUGAUUUUAGGUGAAGUUUGGGUGAAUUUGACAAGUUUUGGCAAAAUCUGAUUCAGAGGCAAAGAAAGGAGUGUAAAUGCUGUCAAAUCCUGACCUCCAUGCGUUCAAAUGCGCAUUUCUGGAGCUACAGAGGUCCAAUUGACAGGUUCUCAAUGGUGUCAAAUGUAACACCCUAAGUUAAAUCCUAUCCAUGAAGGUCUUUAAAUAAGGUGCCACACUUGAUAGAGAUAGAAAAUGAACUUAAUCGUUAUGCAAAGGAGGAAGAAUUGCGCGUGAAGGGGAAAACGAGUAGCACUAAAACGAUGGAAGUGAAUAUAAUAAAUAUGAAAUAAUAACUUAUCCAUGAUUAUGGUUCAAAAUAAAAUGCUUAGAGGUAAUUAUAAUAAAGAAACUAAUACGUCCUAACUAAUUUCAUCGAAGAGGCUCCCAUACUUGUGUCCCAUCCUAUCCUUGAUCGGGACCCUUCAGUUAUUCACGAAUCAGGGUACCAGUGGUGUUCCUCCAACACCUUUCCGCGCAGUGAAGAUUCAGUUCCAUUAUGUGGGAUGAACUAAGACUCGACGGAUGCCGAGGUGGGUGAAUAGGGUACGUAUUCCACCUUUGGACUUUCGUAAGGAUUCAACUCCUCCUUUGGAUCCUCCUCCAUGGUGUCUUUCUCAUGGUCAGGGUUGGCAGAUUCUUCUUCCUCCGUCUCAGAAUCUGAUUCGAGAUGCACCACUUUGGAUGACCGUUUCUUGAAUGUUGAAGUGUUCUUAUCUAGGAAGGUUACGACGAGCAGCUGGGAUUCUUUCUCCACGAACUCUCGACCUAAGUAGACAGUUUGGAGCACGGUAGUAGUGGUCGUAACUACCCACGCGUGCUUCGAGGGGUCGUACUCAGAAGUUACCUUCGGAGAGCACUGCGUCGUCUCUAUCCGCCGUGCCAUGUUCCUCUGGAGACAGUAUGGGAAAAGAAAAGGGAUGAGAUCCUAAGGUCUCAGUAGGAGUGCUAUGCAACACCUCCAUGCCUAUCUCUAGCCCACGUGCGGGAUUUUAAAAGAAGUCGUACGAUAUGGCAUGUAAUACGAUUCUUUCUUGUAAAGCACAUAGGUAAAAAGGAAAGCACAUAGGAAAAAUAGAAGAAUAGUAACAUAUGAAACGUCAACAUGUUCAUAAAUAAAUCUUUAGAAAAAAACAUCAUCAUGAUCAAACUUUGCCUUAUACUUUCUCUUUUCCUUAACUUAUAACUUUUAUGAAAGGUAUUGAGCUCAAACCGGUAUAAAUGAGAGUCCCCAUCCCUUACCGAAGGUUCUUAUCUCGAAUGUCUUGGCGAUCACCUUCUCUUACCGAAGGAUCAUCUCGAUAUCUUGUCUUUGGGGGUCACCUUCCCUUACCGAAUGAUCAUUCCCUCAGUUCAAUUUACAAUCAAGGUUAUUUAGACAUACACAAGAAAAGAGUUAUAUCAACAAGGAUAUCUUAUUAUAUAAAAUUGAUGGGAGUUCCCUUCCCUUACCGAAGGUUUCCAAAAGUUUGCCGAUCACCUACCCUAACCGAAGGAUCAUCUCGAUUCGAUCACCUUUCUUUACCGAAGGAUCAUCUCGAUUAUCUUUGUAUUUGGGGGUCACCUUUCCUUACCGAAGAAUCAUUCUCUUAGUUUAAUUUACAAUUAGGGUGGUUUAGGAAUACACAAGAAGAGAUUCAUGCGAGAAUAGAUCAUGCAAAAAUAGAUCAUGCAAGAGGUAGGACAUAUACCAUAAUAAAAUGAGCAUGUUGAAUAAUGAUAUUAUAAGAAAGUAGGUACUCUCGACCCUAGAGGGAUAUUAAUAAUAUAGUGUAUAAAUAAUCACAUAAGUGUUCAUUUAUAAAAAAAAAGGAUAUUUUAAAUAGUUGAAUAGUUAUAAGGGGGCAUGUACUCUUAACUCAAAGAAAUAUUAUUAAUCCAAUGGUUUAAAAGUUAAUAUAGUUCCAUGUAAUAAAAUACGGGAUAUUAAUUAGUUGAAUAAAAUAAUUAUAAGGAAACAUGUACUCUUGACCCUUAGAAGAUAUUAGUAAUAUAAUAUAUAAAAUACAAUCUAAGUGCACAUAGUAAGAAUGGGGUAUGUUAAAUAGUUGAAUAAAAUAUUAUAAGGAAGCAUAUACCUUUUUCUUUAAAUUUUAAGGAGUAAUAAUAACAUAAUGAUAUAAGAGGUUAUUUAGUUGCACAUAAUAGAAUAGAGUACACUAAACAAGAUAUAGAAAAAUAUGUACUCUUAACAUUAAAGGAAUAGUAAUAAUGUAAUGGAAUAAAAUGUCAUGUAAAUAUACAUAGUAAAAAUUAGGGUGAUUAAAUAAAAUAUUAUAAAGGGGUAUGUACUCUCAACGUUAAAGGAAUAAUAGUAUGAUGGUAUAAAAGAUCAUGUAAAUACACAUAGAAAAUAUGGGAUACAAAUCAAGAGGGCAUGAGUGAUAUAAUAGAUAAUCAUGAUUAAUGUGGAUGAAAGAUAAGUAAGGGAUCAUUAAAGCCAUAAGACACAUGAAAGAUGGUAGCCAUGCAUGGAUGGAAAGGAAAUAAAUUAGAGCAUACUACAUGCCAACAUAAAAGUAAGAAAAACAUAAUUCCCUACUCUUUUUCUAACGCCUCUUUUAUUGCCUAUGAGCUUACCUCUUGUGUUUACACACGGAAUAUUUGCGUAGAGGGAGAAGGGAAAGGAUUAGUGUUUGAGAGGAGUGAUCUUCUACCUAUGGGUGUACCCCUAUUUAUAUACUUUCAGUGGUAAGGUGGUUGGGAUAAUUUUAAAUUCAAAAGAAGGGCGGUUAUUAGAUUCUUAUCCAUAAUUCAAAAUUCUAAACCCAUCUCCUAACUGACUUUCAAAAUUUGAAUUUGAUUUUGUUUCUAUAAGGGGUGAAGGGAGGUUGUUACAUUACCACCCCCAUAAAAAAAAAGAAUUUGUCCUCAAAUUCUACAUCGUAAUUUGGUCAAUAAAGGUCAUUAGUAAGAUGCAUAGUGAUUUUGACAUGGGCAAGCUAAUCUUACAAGUUGCGGAGAGAGAUAUGAACGAAGGAGAAGCACCAAUAUCAUCUAGAAUAGUUAAAGGAUUCCAUUAAUUGUGCAUUUACCCUCGAUUCGAUCUUCUGACUCGUGGACUUCCUCACUGCUGAGGGCAAAGACUCGCCCCUGACGCUGUGGUGGAUUGGCAGGGGGUGGGAGAACUGCUGGGCAUUCAUUGGCGAUAUGCCCCGGCUGAAAACACCGGAAGUAGACAUUUUGCCCGGCAAGGCACCUACCCCUAUGUUGCUUCCCACAUGGAGCACACUCCUUGAGUUCGGUGGUCUUUGGUGAGGCAUUAGUGGAUAGUUCCUGGCAAUUCGUGUCCUGUUGAGGUUGCCUUCUUGUAGGUUUUCCAAGAAAGGCCUUCUUCUGCGGUGGCUGCUGAGAUGAUUCUUGAUUCAGUUGCCUUUUCUUGAAAGCCUCGCUUCUUUCUGACGCUAAUUUUUUGGUGCAUUCUUCGAUCACCUGGCACUUACUAACGAGGGAGGAGAACUCCCGAAUUUCUAGUGGGGCUAUUGCGGUUAAGACUUCUGCCCCGAGCCCUCCUUGAUACAUCAUACACUUCCACUUUUCAUCUGGAUUAGCCUUAUACAUGGCGGAAAAUUUGCAGAGUCUUUCGAACUUCUCUGUGUACUCUGCAAUACUCAUCCUAUCUUGCCUCAGUUGAAGUAACUCCAUCUCCUUGGACUCUCGAUCAGAAAGGGGAAACUACUUCUUGUAGAAAGCUUCCUUGAAGGUGGCCCAACUGAUAUCUGUUCCAGCAUCUUCCAACAACCGUCUUGCUCCAUCCCACCAGAACUCGGCAUCAGCUUUCAGCAUGAACGUAGCGUAGCUCACUUGCUGCUCCUUAGUGCAUGGAAAAAUUGUGAAUACCUUCUCCAUUUCUGCCAACCAUUCUUCUGCUAUAUCAGGGUCGAGGGCUCCACAAAACUCAGGUGGACUGAUGAGCGGAUAUUUUAUACGCUUUUUGGGGGUAAUUUCAUAUAGUUUUUAGUAUAUUUUAGUUAGUUUUUAGUAUAUUUCUAUUAGUUUUUAGGAAAAAUUCAUAUUUCUGGACUUUACUAUGAGUUUGUGUAUUUCUCUGUGAUUUCAGAUAUUUUCUGGCUGAAAUUGAGGGAGCUGAGCAAAAAUCUGAUUUAGGCUGAAAAAGGACUGCUGAUGUUGUUAGAUUCUGACCUCUCUGCACUCGGAAUAGAUUUUUUAGAGCUACAAAAGUCCAAUUGGCGCGCUCUCAAUUGGGUUGGAAAGUAGAUAUCCAGGGCUUUCGAGCAAUAUAUAAUACUCCAUACUUUGCACAAAGAUAAACGAUGUAAACUGGCAUUUAACGCCAGUUCCAUGUUGCAUUCUGGCGUUCAGCGCCAGAAACAGGUUGCAAGUUGGAGUUAACGCCAGAAACAGGUUACAACCUGGCGUUUAACUCCAUAAAUAGCCCAGGCACGUGAGAAGCUCAAGUCUCAGCCCCAUCACACACCAAGUGGGCCCCAGAAGUAGAUUUCUGCACCAUCUAUCUUAGUUUACUCAUUUUCUGUAAACCUAGGUUACCAAUUUAGUAUUUAAACAACUUUUAGAGACUUAUUUUGUAUCUCAUGACAUUUUAGAUAUGAACUUUGUACCUUUUGUCGGCAUGAGUCUUUAAACUCCAUUGUUGGGGGUGAGGAGCUCUGCAGCGUCUCGAUGAAUUAAUGCAAUGAUUUCUGUUUUCCUUUCAAACACGCUUGUUUCUAUCUGAGAUGCUGAUUCGUACUUAACUGUGAUGGAUGUGAUGAUCCGUGACACUCAUCAUCAUUCUCAACCCAUGAACGUGUGUCUGACAAACACCUCCAUUCUACAAAAGAUUGAAUGAGUAUCUCUUAGAUUCCUUAAUCAGAAUCUUCGUGGUAUAAGCUAGAAUCCAUUGGCAGCAUCCUUGAGAAUCCAAAAAGUCUAAACCUUGUCUGUGGUAUUCUGAGUAGGAUUCAGGGAUUGGAUGACUGUGACGAGCUUCAACUCGUGAGUGUUGGGCGUAGUGACAGACGCAAAAGGAUCGAUGGAUCCUAUUCCGACAUGAUCGAGAACCAACAGAUGAUUAGCCGUGCUGUGACAGAGCAUUUGGACCAUUUUCAUUGAGAAGAUGGGAAGUAGCCAUUGACAAUGGUAAUGCCCUACAUGCAGCUUGCCAUGGAAGGAGCCUUGCAUGUUUGAAAGUGAGAAAGCAUUAUGUUCUCCAAUACUGCGUAACAAUUACUUAUUUUAUGCACUUUCACUUUUUACAAUUGAAACUAAAGAACCAUAUUGGCAUGCUGACUAAGAUUAAUAAGAUAAUCAUAGCUUGCUUCAAGCCAACAAUCUCCGUGGGAUUCGACCCUUACUCACGUAAGGUAUUACUUGGACGACCUAGUGCACUUGCUGGUUAGUUGUGCGGAAUUACAUAUUGUGAAAGCAAUUUUUGUGCACCAAGUUUUUGGCGCUGUUGCCGGAGAUUGUUUGAGUUUGAACAACUGACGGUUUAUCUUGUUACUUAGAUUAGGAAAAAUUAGUCUUUUUGGUUUAGAGUCACUAGAAUUGCAUCUUUUAUUAUCCCUUUUAAAAAAACAUUUUCAAAAAUAUUAUUUUUCUUUAUUUUUAGUUUUUCUGUGA